UUGAUUUAUUUGUGUUUUACUCAGACUGCAUUGAAAACAAGAGUUUUUUGGGCCUCUGGCAAAUACUCGUCGACAGAUAUCGGCGUGGGAGAAUCCCAAGAUUCGCCAAAGCAACAGAGGUAUAUGUAAACAUAGGGUGAAGAGGUGAGGCCGAAGCCCCGAAAGCCGAGACUUCCUUUUCUCUUUAAUGAUCCUUCCGCAGGUUCACCUACGGAAA
rnacentral:misc_RNA from 1 species